GCCACCAUAGCUCAGUGGUUAGAGUAAUUGGUCUGGGAACUAGGGUCGAGUUCAAUCUCUACUGGUGGCU